rnacentral:lncRNA from 1 species
CUUCAUACUUCAAUUAUGUUGUAAGCUUGUUGAAAGAUUGA